CUGGAAGUAGCUCAGCCUGGUCAGAGUCCUCGGCUUGGAACCGAGAUGCCGCUGGUUCGAAUCCAGCCUUCCAGACCA
rnacentral:tRNA from 1 species